ACGUUGGCGCCUGGGCGCUGGGAAGCGGCAGGCGUGGAGGCUGCUUCAGCGAUCUCGGGUUGCAGCCCAAAGUCAGAACCGGGAAAAGUGAAAGAGUGAGGGUGUUGCAAUCGUUGAUGUGUUGUAUUCACAAACACGAAUUAAGACAUCUCAGAAACUAUCAGAGAGAGAAUAAAGAAGCAGUCUUUAAACUGCUGAGAGAGAGAAAAAUGUAGAGAGCCUGAUAACAAUGGUACAAAGUGGAGAAAAAGGAAGUGGAAGUUGUUCUUGAAAGUUCAUAUUAUAAAUGAAGUGCCAUAAUACAUGAAGGUAGAGAAUAUGCCAUCUCCAUCAGAGCAAGACCCGAGCCAAGAAGGGACAUGAUUGUUGCAAUCUAACUCAGUCCUCCUUUGUCAGCUCCAGGAGAAAUUUCAGCUUUUGGUCACCUGUUAUCUUUGCAGCUAAUGGCCACCCACAGAGUUGGAUGUGAAACAGUGCAAAGGAUUUGUCUGUACACUGGAGACUGAAAGAUAGAGUCAAAGGUCUGGAGCUCACUGCGGAGUCUGUAUCAGGAGGCCAGUGUGUCAGUGACGGAGGGCUGAAAGUCUAUGCCAGAAGCUGAAGAGUUUGCAUUGGAUGCCAGGAGAUGAUGUCCAAGAUGAAGGCAAAGACUGGAGCUUCUCCAAAGAAACAGAAGCAGAUCCACCCUUCUUCAUUUCCCCUUUAUACCGUCUAGGCAACAAACCACCCUAGGGUGGGUCUUCCAUGUCUUAGAGUGUGGAAUUGCUGAGCCAAUUUAGUUGAGCUUGUCUUACUGAGGUUGACACAAUCAAUCAACCAUCACAGGUUCCAAGAAUUGAAAGAAGUAUCCUGCUAAAGAACAUCAUAAGAACUGUGGAGAAUUUUUAAAACUGAAGUUGAAGGAAAUGUAAAGGCAGGAUUGUGAAUGACCUUAAGCUGUUUCAAUCAAUUUUCAAUUACUAAAUAAAAAUAGAGACUAAUAAAAACCAAAUAUUAAGCCAUAAGUGAAAAAAUAUUUUUUACUACCAAGCAGGGAAGCCUGUCUUGUACCAGAAGCUGUUAGGUUGAGAUGAGGUCUGCGGAGAUAAGGUAGGAUAGGUCUUAGAGCUAGAAGAUUAUAAACUUCGCAUCUAGAGAAGGACAACACAGCUCAGAGUGGUGUUCACUGGCAG
ensembl:lncRNA